rnacentral:ncRNA from 2 species
AACACCGGCUGAGAGAGUUUUCUCAGGUGGAGAGCACAAUCGUGCUGAUAACGUGUUAGAAAUAUGAGAGAAGUGUUGCUGUGGAAGUUGUGUCUUUCUCAUUAGCUCACACUAUCAAUAUAUAGUGGAGGUUCCAACGGUUUCCAACAAGGAGAGGAUCUACACAUUUAAUACAUAUUGACCACAAAGAUAGACUUGGUCAAAGCUCAUAAAUGCUCCGGUUGAAUGAGUCUUCAUCUUGUCUAGUCUCGGACGGAAUGUAGACGGACCGGAGACGGAUGUAGACGGGCCGGAUAGUCUGGUCGGAUGUAAACCUCCUUGAUGGUUAAUGGCAAUCCACAUAUCCAUUCAAUGGAUUUAUAACACCAAGGAUGUUUUCAUUAAUCAAGAACGAAAGUUGGGGGCUCGAAGACGAUCAGAUACCGUCCUAGUCUCAACCAUAAACGAUGCCGACCAGGGAUCAGCGGAUGUUGCUUUUAGGACUCCGCUGGCACCUUAUGAGAAAUCAAAGUUUUUGGGUUCCGGGGGGAGUAUGGUCGCAAGGCUGAAACUUAAAGGAAUUGACGGGAUCAUCCUCUGAGUUUAAGCAUAUCAAUA